GUCAUGAUUCAUUCACGAUCUGGUUGCCCCAUCUCAAAGAAGAUAUAUUGGAAUUGGAAAAGGUACAGAGAAGCACAAGAAUGACUGGGGGUAUGGAACAGCUCCCAUGUGAGCAAGUUGCAGGACAUCCAGAAGAAGUUGUUGGAAAGAUGCAAGUUGGAGAUGACCAAGAGAGACUUGAGUCUCAACAAUAACAGAUUAAGCGUAUAGUGAAAUAGGGAGGACUGAGGAUGGAGCCCUGGGUGACAAUCAUAGAAGGAGGGUAGAAGGAAGAAGAGGAUCUACUAAAGCUAACACAGAAGAUGUAAUCAACUAAAUAAGAGAACCAAUAAAGGAAAGAGUCACAGAAAGCCAGGGAUGAGAAAGCAUCAAGAAGAAGUGGGCGUUUCGGGAUAUUUAUGGAAGAUUGACAAGAAUGAAUAUAAAGAAGUGACCCUUAGACAUAGCAAGAAAAGAAGCCAUGAGUCACUUUUACCAGGGAACAAUUCCUUUGGUGUGGAGCUGGAGAAAGCAUUCUAACUGCGAUUAGCAUGCAGAAAGAGUCUUUCCUUCUUGAAGUAUGUGUUUGCAGUAGAUUGCCCAAAAGUAGAGCUGAUUCAAUAAUGGCAAUAAAGUAGAUGACUUGGUGUCUGCUGAAGAUUGGGGCUUAGAUGAGAGCUCGCUUGCUGCAGCUCUGUUUGGCUAAGACAAACUAAUGUCUACAAAUUGCUCAAAUCUGCCAUCAGAAGUGAUAGGAAUAGUCCCUGCAUUUAUGAC